rnacentral:rRNA from 1 species
CAGCAGCCACGGUAAUACGUAGGGUGCAAGCGUUAAUCGGAAUUACUGGGCGUAAAGCGUGCGCAGGCGGUUAUAUAAGACAGAUGUGAAAUCCCCGGGCUCAACCUGGGAACUGCAUUUGUGACUGUAUAGCUAGAGUACGGCAGAGGGGGAUGGAAUUCCGCGUGUAGCAGUGAAAUGCGUAGAUAUGCGGAGGAACACCGAUGGCGAAGGCAAUCCCCUGGGCCUGUACUGACGCUCAUGCACGAAAGCGUGGGGAGCAAACAGGAUUAGAUACCCGAGUAGUCCCUGUCUCUUAUAC